rnacentral:rRNA from 1 species
GAUGAACGCUAGCUACAGGCUUAACACAUGCAAGUCGAGGGGCAGCAUGAACAAAGCUUGCUUUGUUUGAUGGCGACCGGCGCACGGGUGCGUAACACGUAUCCAAUCUGCCCGCGGCUCGGUGAUAGCCCAUCGAAAGAUGGAUUAAUACCCGAUGGCGUGGUCACUCCGCAUGGAGUUUCCACUAAAGGUUUUCCGGCCGCGGAUGAGGAUGCGUAUGAUUAGGUAGUAGGCGGGGUAACGGCCCACCUAGCCUUCGAUCAUUAGGGGUUCUGAGAGGAAGGUCCCCCACACCGGAACUGAGACACGGUCCAGACUCCUACGGGAGGCAGCAGUGAGGAAUAUUGGUCAAUGGGCGAGAGCCUGAACCAGCCAAGUAGCGUGAAGGAAGACUGCCCUAUGGGUUGUAAACUUCUUUUGUUCGGGAAUAAAGUGCAGUAUGUAUACUGUUUCGUAUGUACCGUUCGAAUAAGCAUCGGCUAAUUCCGUGCCAGCAGCCGCGGUAAAAC